GGAGUUGCUGAGAAGGAGCUGUGGUUCUGACCUUCAGGGGAAUUCCCACGUCUGUAUGGUGGCUCGUGAAGAGCAUGGUUCCUUUUCUCAGCCCUCUUGAGGGGCGAGGAUGCUGAGGACUGAAGUCGGUGGGGCUUGAUGCAUGUGGGCCUGCUCUCUGUCAUGUGAUGCUAUACUACAGCCAGGCUGGAAUUUGGUGUCUUAUUGCUACAAAGAAUCAGCUUUGUCAAUCCUAAGGUCACUGAGAGGCUGCCAGAGGGCCAUUUUCAUGACCAGAGGGAUCUGUUCAACACCCUGUGGGUCCCAGCACCUAUCUCAGGAAGCAGGGUGCAUCUGUCCACCACCAAGUCUCAGGGUGGCUGGGUGAGCGCUCAUCAGUCCCAGACAGCAGGUUGGCACAAAACGACACUGCCCACAAAACCACAGGAAGAAGAGAAACUCCGACUGUCUUUCAGCACACAGAAGACACUGUACUGGACCCGGACAUUAGGCAGACACCCACGCCUGACUUUCAGGAGAAAAGAGAACAUGACUAACGGAUAUUCUUAGUAGAUGGUUUAUUAGAAAAGAGAACAUCUUCCAGCAUGUGUCCUGGGGUGAUGGGUGUGGGAAGCACUCAGUCCAUAGUCCUGGUCCCUGGCUUCCCCAAGCCCAGCACCAUGAAUGUACAGUGGAAAGCAGAGGGUGCAGCGUCUCAGAAAGAUGCUUCCACUCACAAGGAUUGGAGCUCACAAGUGAGCUCCAUAACCUGCAAACCAGAGAAACCUGAGACACUGCCCCUUGGCCAUUUUAUCAACGGAGACUUUAUUGUGAUUAUCCCGGCAGGGGGCCGAGCUCUCCUCUCUGCAACAGGAAAUGCUCUUUAGUGAAAAUGCAGCAUUUCUCCAAGGGUAACAAAGCUGAACGCCUGCUUAGCUUAUGAACCCUCAGUUGGCCUAGGUGGUGCAAAGACCCUGCUGUUACUGCUUUGAUCAUCAGUACUGUGGACUGUACCAGGAGAUCCCUGGGAAUGUGCUCUGGGCGGAAGCAGCUUUUAUCUUUGGCCCUCACCCAUGCUUUAUAUGGUGAGGUUGGGAAAAUGGCACAAGGCUUCUCCUGAACCUCAAAUCAACACCCUUGCCCCAUUUAGAUCCUAUCUGGCUGUUUCUUGCUAAUAUUACUGCAUCACUGCACCAUCUUUCCUAUUUCAGCAAAGUGGAGUCAUGUGUGGUUUAUGGGGUAGAUGGACCCCAAAACUGAUAAUAUGAAUCAAGCUAUGGUGUUUACUCCCUAGGAAAUGCACAAUUUUUCUGGAAACCUACAGAAGCUUCAAAUGCAUUCGCCAUGCAAAGCUAAGUCAGCAGAACAACCCGUUUGGCUUUGGAGGCUAGUUCAGUUCCGCGGACAGGGAGAAAGAUGAGGCAGACUGUGGUUUUUCAGUUCCUGGAGCUUACGGAGCUCCAAAGCUCCCUCUCUUCCCACCCUGGCUGCACUGUUCUUAAUUUUAGAUAAUACCCUGCCUUCUCGUAUUGCUGCUGAGCUCCUAGCAUCCUCAGUUUAUCUGUCUGUGAAAUGAAAAAUCUAAUGUUAAAUUUUUUACCUAUGGCAUGAGAGAGAUGGCUAUGGCUCUUGUGAGCCUCUCUGCAGCCCCUCUUUUCCUUCAAUCACCCUCUGUCUCUCCUGCCUUCUGCUUAUUCUCUCUCUCCCCUCAUCCCCACUUUCCCAGUGGGUCCUCUGUUCUCUUUUUUUUUUUCUUUUUAAAUCUCUCUAUGCCUCCAGCCGAGAAGAUAAAGAGUGUACAUCUUUCUGGUUAAAAAGUUUUGCUUUGCAGAAACACAGCCAAUUUAUGAUUCUGGCCUUCCCAGCUAGGGACAGUGUUCAUUUACAUUUAGGACCAUGAGGAGAGAGGCUUAGCUGUGUGUUUCUGAGGCCGGAGAAAAUUACAGUGAUAUAUAACAGUGCUGCACUCAUAGAGGUGCUGAGCCGGGGUUGGGCUCAGGCGGCCGCUAAGCUCAGAGUGGAAAGUUUCAGAGGGGAGGCAGAAAGGAGAGGUCUAUAGCUCCUCCAGAUUCUAGGUAUUAAUUUACUAAGAUAUUCCUAAGCCAGAAAACAGAGACAGAAGACAAAGAGAAAGAGGGAAGAAGAGCAAGACAGAGAGUUAGAGAGAGACAAAGAGAGAGAGUUAGAGACAAAGAGAGAGUGGAGAGGAGAGAGAGCAAAUAUUG
rnacentral:lncRNA from 1 species